UCCAUUUACCUAAAACAGUAAAACCCUUACUAGCUAUUCAAGAAAUUUCUAUCCCUUACAACUCCAUUUUCAAUUCUUGCUGUUACUAGAGGGCUUAGUAUAGUGGUGGAUCAAUCAUUCUUUUGUUUGCAGAUGACAAGCAAUAUCAUAUAGGUUGGAAUAGAGUAUUUUUUCUUUGCUUGAGGCGAGGAAAAGGUGGUAUUGCUGGUAGAAGGGCUCGUGUUGUUGAGAAAGGAUGAACGCCUAUUGAAAUGGACGAAUCAGCCUCGGAAGAUGAUCACACAACUUGUGAUAUUGGUUCCAUUUCAAGGGGUCAAACUCAGGAAUUCACUCCCGGGACAUCAGUGGAGAAUGCAGGCGAAUGUGGUGAACCAUCAGUGAAGGAGAAGCGUAUGAUUUUUCCCAAGCGUUGUGGGACUGGGAGUCACUAUCUUUACUAGCAUGGCAAAAAGAAACAAGCAAAGAGAAACAAAGAAGUGUAAUUGAGAGGUUUCAGGAUGGAAUUUAUGAUUUUGACAAAGUACCUGCAUUGGUUGCCCUUCAUCUGAGCUACAAUGAACAGAGCAUAUUUUAUGGCCCUUUUGAAGAAAUGAGCUAUUGAGGCAACGCAAAAAGCUAACACGACUUUGUUUGAAUACGAGCACAUGUCAUACUUGUUUGAGAGCUACAAAGUGGUCGCUAGGCGUAUAUUCUCAAAAUACUAUCUCGUCCUUUUGUAAUUACGUUGUGAUUCCUUCAAAGUUUGUGAAUAGUGGUUUUUAGUACUCUAUUAGUAAUGGUAUUUAAAUUUGAAUUGUGAAGUUAAACUUAUACUCUUCAAGUUUGUGAA